rnacentral:rRNA from 1 species
GACGUAGGGCGCGAGCGUUGUCCGGAUUUAUUGGGCGUAAAGAGCUCGUAGGCGGCUUGUCGCGUCGUCCGUGAAAACUUGGGGCUCAACCCCAAGCUUGCGGUCGAUACGGGCAGACUAGAGUUCGGUAGGGGAGACUGGAAUUCCUGGUGUAGCGGUGAAAUGCGCAGAUAUCAGGAGGAACACCGGUGGCGAAGGCGGGUCUCUGGGCCGAUACUGACGCUGAGGAGCGAAAGCGUGGGGAGCAAACAGG